rnacentral:misc_RNA from 1 species
UAUUCUGGUGCAGCAUAACCCCGAGUUCCCACCACUUUGGUCGAAACAUGAGUGUUAUCUCCUGUAGGACCAUCUCUUGCUAGGCCAAAAUCUGAAAGCCUCGCAUUAUAGUCCGAAUCAAGUAGAAUAUUGGAUGCCUUCAAGUCACGAUAGAUUACAUUGGCAUUUAAACCAUGUAAGAAGGAUAAUCCCCUUGCUACAUCAAUGGCAAUGCGCAUCCGUGUAGCNNNNGAUCCCCUUUUCUGAAUAAAUGACUCUCCAAACUUCCCUUGGGCAUAAACUCAUAAACUAGAAGUCUGUUCUCAGACUCAGCACAAUACCCAAUGAGCUUCACCAGAUUUUCAUGACGAAGCUGACCUAGAUAGUUAACUUCUGCAAGCCACUCCUUAUGGCCCUGAAAGCUUUCAGCCUUGAGCCUCUUUACUGCCACAACAAUCCCAGUUCCCGGUUUAGUAGGAGCUAAAGUAUUCUCAUCAAGCCAUCCUUUGAAAACGCACCCAAAACCACCCUCUCCAAGCAAUGUUUCGGAGCGAAAGUUCUUGGUGGCAUUCUUUAGGUCACUAAAGCUAAAGGACUUGAGAUUGCUGGGAACAGAUGCAUCAACCGCGCUUACUUCGAAAGAUUUCUUAAAGCUUCCCAGUGAUGCUUUCUGCGAAGAAGUGGUAGAAUCCUGCUUCAACUCAUUAUUAUGAGACCCUGUAGUUCCAGAAGAAAAAUUAGUUGAAGAAGCAUGAGCGCACUUGGCUGGUUUUAAACAGCAGUUUCCCAUAAUUGAAUAAUCUCAAAAAACUUCUUCUUUCAUAGAGUGAGAAGGAGAGGAGGAGGAGGAAGAAGAAGAAAAGGAGAGUAUAUUUGAAAAUUUUGAAAGGCAAGAGGUCCAAAUAA